rnacentral:pre_miRNA from 1 species
UUGGUACUCCCUCCGUUUCUUUUUAUUUGUCGCUGGAUAGUGUAAUUUUGCACUAUCCAGCGACAAAUAAAAAGGUUUCUUUUUAUUUGUCGCUGGAUAGUGUAAUUUUGCACUAUCCAGCGACAAAUAAAAAGAAACGGAGGGAGUACCUG